rnacentral:rRNA from 1 species
AACGAACGCUGGCGGCAGGCCUAAAACAUGCAAGUCGAGCGGGCAUAGCAAUAUGUCAGCGGCGGACGGGUGAAUAACACGUGGGAACAUGCCCUUUGGUACGGAACAACUCAGGGAAACUUGAGCUAAUACCGUAUGUGCCGGUAACGGGAAAGAUUUAUCGCCAAAGGAUUGGCCCGCGUCCGAUUAGCUAGUUGGUGAGGUAACGGCUCACCAAGGCGACGAUCGGUAGCUGGUUUGAGAGAACGAUCAGCCACACUGGGACUGAGACACGGCCCAGACUCCUACGGGAGGCAGCAGUUGGGAAUCUUGGAC